rnacentral:rRNA from 1 species
GUGGGGAAUAUUGGACAAUGGGCGCAAGCCUGAACCAGCCAUGCCGCGUGCAGGAUGACUGCCCUAUGGGUUGUAAACUGCUUUUAUACGGGAAGAAACCCCUCCACGUGUGGAGGAUUGACGGUACCGUAAGAAUAAGCACCGGCUAACUACGUGCCAGCAGCCGCGGUAAUACGUAGGGUGCGAGCGUUAAUCGGAAUUACUGGGCGUAAAGCGUGCGCAGGCGGUGCUGUAAGACAGGCGUGAAAUCCCCGGGCUCAACCUGGGAACUGCCUCCAAAACUGCAUGACUAGAGUACGGUAGAGGGUAGUGGAAUUUCCUGUGUAGCGGUGAAAUGCGUAGAUAUAGGAAGGAACACCAGUGGCGAAGGCGACUACCUGGACUGAUACUGACACUGAGGUGCGAAAGCGUGGGGAGCAAACAGGAUUAGAAACCCUGGUAGUCC